UACGGAGGGUGCAAGCGUUAAUCGGAAUUACUGGGCGUAAAGCGCACGCAGGCGGUUUGUUAAGUCAGAUGUGAAAUCCCCGGGCCCAACCUGGGAACUGCAUUUGAAACUGGCAGCUUGAGUCUUGUAGAGGGGGUAGAAUUCCAGGUGUAGCGGUGAAAUGCGUAGAGAUCUGGAGGAAUACCGGUGGCGAAGGCGGCCCCCUGGACAAAGACGUGACGCUCAGGUGG
rnacentral:rRNA from 1 species